rnacentral:rRNA from 1 species
CCCGAGGAAAAGAAAUCAACCGAGAUUCCCCCAGUAGCGGCGAGCGAACGGGGAGCAGCCCAGAGCCUGAAUCAGUGUGUGUGUUAGUGGAAGCGUCUGGAAAGGCGCGCGAUACAGGGUGACAGCCCCGUACACAAAAAUGCACAUGCUGUGAGCUCGAUGAGUAGGGCGGGACACGUGGUAUCCUGUCUGAAUAUGGGGGGACCAUCCUCCAAGGCUAAAUACUCCUGACUGACCGAUAGUGAACCAGUACCGUGAGGGAAAGGCGAAAAGAACCCCGGCGAGGGGAGUGAAAAAGAACCUGAAACCGUGUACGUACAAGCAGUGGGAGCACGCUUCGGCGUGUGACUGCGUACCUUUUGUAUAAUGGGUCAGCGACUUAUAUUCUGUAGCAAGGUUAACCGAAUAGGGGAGCCGAAGGGAAACCGAGUCUUAACUGGGCGUUAAGUUGCAGGGUAUAGACCCGAAACCCGGUGAUCUAGCCAUGGGCAGGUUGAAGGUUGGGUAACACUAACUGGAGGACCGAACCGACUAAUGUUGAAAAAUUAGCGGAUGACUUGUGGCUGGGGGUGAAAGGCCAAUCAAACCGGGAGAUAGCUGGUUCUCCCCGAAAGCUAUUUAGGUAGCGCCUCGUGAAUUCAUCUCCGGGGGUAGAGCACUGUUUCGGCAAGGGGGUCAUCCCGACUUACCAACCCGAUGCAAACUGCGAAUACCGGAGAAUGUUAUCACGGGAGACACACGGCGGGUGCUAACGUCCGUCGUGAAGAGGGAAACAACCCAGACCGCCAGCUAAGGUCCCAAAGUCAUGGUUAAGUGGGAAACGAUGUGGGAAGGCCCAGACAGCCAGGAUGUUGGCUUAGAAGCAGCCAUCAUUUAAAGAAAGCGUAAUAGCUCACUGGUCGAGUCGGCCUGCGCGGAAGAUGUAACGGGGCUAAACCAUGCACCGAAGCUGCGGCAGCGACGCUUAUGCGUUGUUGGGUAGGGGAGCGUUCUGUAAGCCUGUGAAGGUGUGCUGUGAGGCAUGCUGGAGGUAUCAGAAGUGCGAAUGCUGACAUAAGUAACGAUAAAGCGGGUGAAAAGCCCGCUCGCCGGAAGACCAAGGGUUCCUGUCCAACGUUAAUCGGGGCAGGGUGAGUCGACCCCUAAGGCGAGGCCGAAAGGCGUAGUCGAUGGGAAACAGGUUAAUAUUCCUGUACUUGGUGUUACUGCGAAGGGGGGACGGAGAAGGCUAUGUUGGCCGGGCGACGGUUGUCCCGGUUUAAGCGUGUAGGCUGGUUUUCCAGGCAAAUCCGGAAAAUC